UACGUAGGGUGCAAGCGUUAAUCGGAAUUACUGGGCGUAAAGCGUGCGCAGGCGGUUAUAUAAGACAGAUGUGAAAUCCCCGGGCUCAACCUGGGAACUGCAUUUGUGACUGUAUAGCUAGAGUACGGUAGAGGGGGAUGGAAUUCCGCGUGUAGCAGUGAAAUGCGUAGAUAUGCGGAGGAACACCGAUGGCGAAGGCAAUCCCCUGGACCUGUACUGACGCUCAUGCACGAAAGCGUGGGGAGCAAACAGGAUUAGAUACCCUGGUAGUCCACGCCCUAAACGAUGUCAACUGGUUGUUGGGUCUUCACUGACUCAGUAACGAAGCUAACGCGUGAAGUUGACCGCCUGGGGAGUACGGCCGCAAGGUUGAA
rnacentral:rRNA from 1 species